UACGUAGGGCGCAAGCGUUGUCCGGAAUUAUUGGGCGUAAAGAGCUCGUAGGUGGUUUGUCGCGUCUGCCGUGAAAACCCGAGGCUUAACCUCGUGGCUUGCGGUGAUACGGGCAGACUAGAGGUAGGUAGGGAGAAUGGAAUUCCCGGUGUAGCGGUGAAAUGCGCAGAUAUCGGGAGGAACACCGGUGGCGAAGGCGGUUCUCUGGG
rnacentral:rRNA from 1 species